GGGCAAGUGAGACUACGCCGUGACGUCUUCGUUGCCCUGGCAACCUAGGGACACUCUUGGAGUUGUUGGACCGCCCAACCCGUGACUUGCGCUCUGUAAGGUCGUGACCUGUGUGUGCGGAACAAGCCUAAAAUGAGCCUGGUUUAAGAGCUACCACAGGUGCUGGACUCUUCUAGAAAACCUGUCGCGUCGGUUUGGUCUCCUUUAUAACACCGUUAACUGGUUGGAAUAUACCAAUAAAUAUGCUGUUACUGCUCAAACAAACCACUUCCUUGUGUUGCCAUCUUCAAUCAAAAUGUAGACUGCUAUAGAUAACUUGGAAAACACAGAAAACAACAACAAAAAGGUCAUCUGUGAUCAUGCCCUAGAGAGAACUACUUUUGAUAUUAAGCUGGGGAGGAUGAAGAUCUAGCACCACACACUAUCUUCUUAUCUUCCCAUUCUGCUUUCAACAUAAACCAGAGACCAUUAGGAACACAGCUGAAAGCAAGUUAAAUUUAUUAUUUUCUGCAACAAAGAAGACCCUACAUCAUAGAGAGCAAAGACAAUAUCAAACAGUCAGAAGUCCUGCUAGGCUAAUAGCUGGUCAUGUGAUCAAUUUUGGAAUCAAUAUAACAGGCCUCUGUAACUGCUGCCAGCAGUUUCUGAUUCAUCAAAGACAUCACUCUCAAGGGUAAUUAUUUACACAUGGAAAUUGGUUGGAAAUUAGGUGUCACCAAAAGGCUGCUUUGUGUACUGUGGUGGCGUGUAUGUAAAUAUAUCGGUUCAUAUUUAACACAUGCAAAAUACUCACAUGGAUGAGUGGUGAGUAGAGCUAGCCAUAGACCAGGAUUUCAUGAAAUAGAAGGGGCCCCAUGAGACAGAAAGUUGUGCCAAAUAACUUGUUUCUAAAAUCUGAGCUCAAAUUCUUUUACAACAUCCCCAAAGAAUGGCAAGGCACAUCAAAUGACCAGGAAUUCCUAGCUCACAAGAUGGAAUACUCCAUUUCCAGUGGGUUCUAAUUCAAGCCUUUGCUUAUAUUUUGACUGCAAUCUGCCUGCCUUGAGCCUUCUUCUAGUCCUAGUGCAGCUCUCUGCAAUCAGGUGGAGACUAACCCUUUUUCCCCAUAGCAACUUUGCAGGUUAGUUGAAAACAGAUAUAACUGAUCUCUAUUUUUUUGGUUUAAAUGAAAUACUGCCUUUAAUUGUAACACUGAGGGAUGGAUUGAAUACUUGUGUUCUGACAUGAUCUAAAAGAAAUGCUAAUGAUGUGUAACUAAUAUAACACUGUAUGUUAACUAUACUGGAAUUAAAAAAAAGCUUGUUAAAAAAGAUAUAUGCACCCUAUGUUUAUUGCAGAA